AGAGUUUGAUCCUGGCUCAGGACGAACGCUGGCGGCAUGCCUAAUACAUGCAAGUCGAACGAGCUUCCGUUGAAUGACGUGCUUGCACUGAUUUCAGCAAUGAAGCGAGUGGCGAACUGGUGAGUAACACGUGGGGAAUCUGCCCAGAAGCAGGGGAUAACACUUGGAAACAGGUGCUAAUACCGUAUAACAACAAAAUCCGCAUGGAUUUUGUUUGAAAGGUGGCUUCGGCUAUCACUUCUGGAUGAUCCCGCGGCGUAUUAGUUAGUUGGUGAGGUAAAGGCCCACCAAGACGAUGAUACGUAGCCGACCUGAGAGGGUAAUCGGCCACAUUGGGACUGAGACACGGCCCAAACUCCUACGGGAGGCAGCAGUAGGGAAUCUUCCACAAUGGACGAAAGUCUGAUGGAGCAAUGCCGCGUGAGUGAAGAAGGGUUUCGGCUCGUAAAACUCUGUUGUUAAAGAAGAACACCUUUGAGAGUAACUGUUCAAGGGUUGACGGUAUUUAACCAGAAAGCCACGGCUAACUACGUGCCAGCAGCCGCGGUAAUACGUAGGGGGCGAGCGUUAUCCGGAAUUAUUGGGCGUAAAGCGCGCGCAGGCGGCUGAUUAAGUCAGGUGUGAAAGGCUGCGGCUCAACCGCAGAGCGGCACCUGAAACUGGUCAGCUUGAGUGCAGGAGAGGGGAGCGGAAUUCCCGG
rnacentral:rRNA from 1 species